AUUCUCCGUCAGUUCCGUUAAGUAAUUAACGGAAAGUUCAAAAACAUUUUUUUUAAAAAAUGAAAAAAAUCUGAAAAACACUUAAAAAAUUCAGAGAAAAAACAAAAAAUUCAUAAUAAAUUCAAAAAAUUCUGAAAAAAAAUUCUAAAGUUCAAAAAUAUUCUGAAAAAAUUCAAAAAUCUUAAAAGAAUUUGAAAAAUUUUGAAAAAAAUUAGGUGGC
rnacentral:lncRNA from 1 species